rnacentral:piRNA from 1 species
UGGUGCGUCUUUACAGUCACAAACAGGAUGU